rnacentral:rRNA from 1 species
GAUGAACGCUAGCGACAGGCUUAACACAUGCAAGUCGAGGGGCAGCGGGGAGGUAGCAAUACUUCCGCCGGCGACCGGCGCACGGGUGAGUAACACGUAUGGAACCUGCCCGUAGCAGGGGGAUAAGCGGAAGAAAUUCCGUCUAAUACCGCGUAAUAACUCCGAGAGGCAUCUCAUGGAGUUUAAAGGGUAACACCGGCUACGGAUGGCCAUGCGGCGCAUUAGCUAGUUGGCGGGGUAACGGCCCACCAAGGCGACGAUGCGUAGGGGUUCUGAGAGGAAGGUCCCCCACACUGGUACUGAGACACGGACCAG